GAUCUGGACACAGAGGCUCCACUCCGUCUGCCCAGUGUUCAGACUACCUGUUCAGGACUACGAGAUUGUACAGUAGUCUGCACAUUGGUUAGGCUGUGCUGGGAUACACCACACACACUGC
rnacentral:pre_miRNA from 14 species